rfam:Camelus ferus unplaced genomic scaffold scaffold261, whole genome shotgun sequence.
GACGGUAUAGCUUAGUGGUAGAGUGUAUGCUUAGCCUGAAUGAGGUCCUGGAUUCAAUCCCCAGUACCUCCA